AUUGAACGCUGGCGGCAGGCCUAACACAUGCAAGUCGAACGGUAACAGGAAGCAGCUUGCUGCUUCGCUGACGAGUGGCGGACGGGUGAGUAAUGUCUGGGAAACUGCCUGAUGGAGGGGGAUAACUACUGGAAACGGUAGCUAAUACCGCAUAACGUCGCAAGACCAAAGAGGGGGACCUUAGGGCCUCUUGCCAUCGGAUGUGCCCAGAUGGGAUUAGCUAGUAGGUGGGGUAACGGCUCACCUAGGCGACGAUCCCUAGCUGGUCUGAGAGGAUGACCAGCCACACUGGAACUGAGACACGGUCCAGACUCCUACGGGAGGCAGCAGUGGGGAAUAUUGCACAAUAGGCGCAAGCCUGAUGCAGUCAUGCCGCGUGUAUGAAGAAGGCCUUCGGGUUGUAAAGUACUUUCAGCGGGGAGGAAGGGAGUAAAGUUAAUACCUAUGCUCAUUGACGUUACCCGCAGAAGAAGCACCGGCUAACUCCGUG
rnacentral:rRNA from 1 species